GCCGAAGUGAUGGAAUUGGUAGACAUUGACGACUCAAAAUCGUCUGCCCGUAAGGGCGUGCGGGUUCGAGUCCCGCCUUCGGCA
rnacentral:tRNA from 1 species